GAUGAAGAACGUAGCGAAAUGCGAUAAGUAAUGUGAAUUGCAGAAUUCAGUGAAUCAUCGAAUCUUUGAACGCACCUUGCGCUCCUUGGUAUUCCUUGGAGCAUGCCUGUUUGAGUAUCAUGAAAUUCUCAAAGUAAAUCUUUUUGUUAAUUCAAUUAGGUUCACUUUGGAUUUGGAGGUUUUUUGCAGCUUCACACCUGCUCCUCUUUGUGCAUUAGCUGGAUCUCAGUGUUAUGCUUGGUUCCACUCGGCGUUAUAAGUUAUCUAUCGCUGAGGACACUUUUUUUUUGUUUUUUUUCUAAAAAUAAAUAAAUAACUAAGUGGCCAAGGGAAAUGCAGAUGAACCGCUUCCAAUAGUCCAUUAGCUUGGACAAAUAUAUUUUUAUGAUCUGAUCUCAAAUCAGGUAGGACUACCCGCUGAACUUAAGCAUAUCAAUAAGCGGAGGA
rnacentral:misc_RNA from 1 species